ensembl:lncRNA COPB2-DT COPB2 divergent transcript
GAGGGGUGUGGCCUAGACCACUAAGGGCCGUGACGUGGUGCCGCUGAGCUUGGACCCCGACCAGAAGAUAGAGAUUGAAACGAUGAGGAAAACGAAGUGCCUAAUCCCCGCUGGACGCUAACUGCAGGGCAAGCUCCCCAGUGUUGUAGUUGUGUUUCGGAGGCCGAGAACCGCUAUCGGGCUUCCUCGGACUCUGGCCCUGGAGGGGGGAAACGGCGAGGGAGAAGGCGAAACGAGUCUCCAGUGUGUUCUUGGGGCCUGGUGCGAGGCCCAGAGAAUUCUCUGCAGGCCUUUGCCCGGGCACUGAUUAAGGCUGCGAAGAGACGCACCGGGCUGCGGGCUUAGUAGCUUCAGGCUUCUGAAGUCAGAGGGAGGGCUGAGAGCUUACACUUCUGGAGCUCCCCGGGAGACGGCAACUACCCAACCGUGUGGGUGUGUUUGUGAACAUGGAGGAGACAUAUUUCCACCUAUUUCUCUCCAUAAGUAUAAAAGACCAUAAAAGACCAUCUAGGGACUUCAGAACCCAAAUAAUGACACAAUGUUAAUUUGCAGGUUCUCCCUCUGCCUGCCACCCCACCCAGCAAGGAGGAGAGGAAGUGUUGAGAAGGGAAGAGAUGAGUCCUGGCCCUGUCACUUCUUAGGGGUGUGCUUUUGAACAACCUGCUCACCAUGUAUGAACUUCACUCUUCUUGUUUAUAAAAUGAGGACAAUGACACCUGCAAGACUGUGAGGUUUAAAAACAAAAUCUGUGUUGAGAGGUAACUUGCCUCUUUUACUUACCAAUGAUUUCCUCAAUGCCUGGUGACUGGGGCUGGUUCAUACUAGACGAUCAAUAAAUGCUCCUUGAAUGAA